AUUGAACGCUGGCGGCAGGCCUAACACAUGCAAGUCGAACGAGUGGCGGACGGGUGAGUAAUGUCUGGGAAACUGCCUGAUGGAGGGGGAUAACUAGUGGAAACGGUAGCUAAUACCGCAUACUAUCAGAUGUGCCCAGAUGGGAUUGGCUAGUUGGUGGGGUAGCGGCUCACCAAGGCCACGAUCCCUAGCUGGUCUGAGCGGAUGACCAGCCACACUGGAACUGAGACACGGUCCAGACUCCUACGGGAGGCAGCAGUGGGGAAUAUUGCACAAUGGGCGCAAGCCUGAUGCAGCCAUGCCGCGUGUAUGAAGAAGGCCUUCGGGUUGUAAAGCACUUUCAGCGGGGAGGCGUUACCCGCAGAAGAAGCACCGGCUAACUCCGUGCCAGCAGCCGCGGUAAUAC
rnacentral:rRNA from 1 species